rnacentral:rRNA from 1 species
GACGAACCGUGCAAACGUUGUUCGGAAUCACUGGGCUUAAAGGGCGCGUAGGCGGGCAGGCAAGUCGGAGGUGAAAGCCCACGGCUCAACCGUGGAAGUGCCCCCGAUACUGCCAGUCUUGAGGGAGGUAGGGGCGUGCGGAACUUCCGGUGGAGCGGUGAAAUGCGUAGAUAUCGGGAGGAACACCAGUGGCGAAGGCGACUUCCUGGCCUGUUCUUGACGCUGAGGCGCGAAAGCUAGGGGAGCAAACGGG